UUUUAUAAAAUUCUUUAAUAGUUUUUGUUGCCUUAAAAUUAUUUAGGAUGCUCUGAAAAUUCAAGUAAAAAUUGAUUAAACAUUUUUAAACAUGGGGAAUUUAUUAAAAAUACCCACAAGCCAAUUUGAUAUAAAUCUUGGUGAAUUUUAAUUGUUGAAGGCUCUUUUAGGCUUUUAAAAUUUCUAGAAAUGCAUUAAAGCACGAUUUAAAUUUAGGGCGAUUUCCAAGGCGUUACAAAGCUCGACUUGGAGGUCCUGUCCAAUUUCGUUGGAAUUAUCCAUAUGAGAGGUAAAACAAGAAGUAAAACAUUAACUUGUUUUUAUAGAGUUUACUAACCCUAAUGCAUUUGGUCCUGCCAUGUAGGUUUAUCCAAAAACUUAGAAAGAAAGUGUGAAAUAAAGCUCGAGUUGAGGGUUCCAUUGUUGAGGCCUACCUAGUUGAGGAAACAUCUAAUUUUCUUUCACUCUAUUUCAAUCCUAAAGUUCGGUCUGCUAGAAACAAGAUGCAUCGAUAUGAUGAUGGCAGCUCACAAUUUGAUAGUACAUACAACCUAGAAAUAUUUCAGUACCCUGGCCGGUGUAUUAGCCCACGGGGCUGCCAACAGUACAAGGCUGCUACCUUAUACAUAUUGACAAACACACCAGAAAUGGAUGAUUUCUUCAAGUACGUUUCAAAUCUACUAUGAGUCAUUCAUAUAUUUUUAUGCCAUAAUUCUAAAUAAGUUUGUUAAUGUAGUAAAUAUGAUAAGGAACAAUGGAAGAGCCGAAUUUCACCAACACCAAAUCAGUUGCGAGACUUGCGAUUAAAUGGAUGGAAAUCUGGUCGUGGCAUUAGAAAUGGGCCUAAUUUCUUUGAUUGGUUCAGAACUGAAUGCAUGAAGUCAUCUAGUAUACACAAUGCUUUGUGUCAAAUAUCUUAUGGUUUUCGAAGUACAGUUUCCACUUAUGGAGUUUAUGAUAUCAAUGGAUAUAGGUUUCGUUCAGAGAAGUAUGAGAGCAAGAAAUCAGGGUUAACAACAACCAACAGUGGGGUGUGUGUCUUGUGUUGGCGAAAACAAUGAUGUGCUAGAGUACUAUGGUAUUAUAAAAGACAUACUCAAGAUUAGUUGGGAAGGCAACAUGAACCUUGAAUUGGUUUUGUUUGACUGUUAUUGGUUUGACCCAACAUCUACCGGUGUUCGGCGUACUGACAAUUUGGGUUUAGUUGAAAUUAAGCACACGUCUAGGCUUUCAACUUUUGAACCAUUUGUGAUGGCUAGUCAAGUUACACAAGUAUAUUAUUUGCCUUACCCAUGCACUACAAGACGUGAUCUAUCAGAAUGGUGGGUUGUACAUCAUGUCAAUCCACGGGGUUAUGUCCAGAAAGUUGAGAACACAAAUAAUGAUUCCAACCCAAAUGAUGAUCAAACCCAAGAUGUAUCAUUCUAUCAAGAAGAUAGAUUGGAAGGCACUUUUAUUAUUGACCUUGGGGCUGACUUAGGAAAUAUGACUCCACCUAUUUUGGAUGAGAUAACCAAUGCAAAAUUCUUAGAAUUCCUAGAAAAGCAAACGCAGGCUGAAGAUAAUUACGAUGAAGAUGACAAUGAAGAAGAAGAAGAAGAAGAAGAAGAAGAAGAAGAAGAAGAAGAAGAAGAAGAAGAAGAAGAAGAAGAAGAAGAAAAUGAUGAAGAAGAUGAAGGGACACAGCCCCCAACUUAUGAUCCAAAUGAUUUUUAGUUUAAGCUAUUGAGAUUGAAAUAUCUAUAAAUAUCUAUUGUAUUUUGUGUCUGUUAAUUUAUUUAUGCAGCUGCCAACUUUCAUAUGACUUUUUAACCUUUAAGUACCUAAGGUCAUUUUGUACUUUAUAAAGGUUUUAUAUUAAGCACUGAUGGAUUAUUAUUUGUUUGAAUGAUUCCAUGCUAUGAAAAUAUAUGCUAUUAUUCUUCUUUUUUUAUGGACCGAUGGUGCUCUUCUAAAACUAAUAAAUGGAUAUAACAUUGCAGGAAAUGAACAGCAUUCAUCGGAAGCGGCUUGCAAGACAGCAACAAGGCAGGAACAUCUCCACAAGGAGCAAUGCUAGUGCUACUAAUGCAAAAAACAGAGUCCCAGAAAUGAUCAAUGGAGGUGGCAGUAGUAACUCCGGUGCUAACUCCUCCCAGAGACUUUGUGCUGGUAAUAGUAGCAAUACUGAUAAUGCCUCCCAAGCCACCAAUAUUUCUGGAAGUGGCAUGAGCAGUGUGCCACCAAAUAAAAGAGGGAGGAAGAAGGGCUCAAGAACUGCACUAAAAGUACCUCCGCGGGGUCGAAAGAUCGCGCUGAAACCUCGGGGUGAUGAGCAAUUUGAGUACGUAACAUACCCUCUAUUGAAAUCAGACCCCAAAUAUGGUACACAUAUGGGAAUUAUUCUUAAACGAGAAUACCCUGGCAUUAUUGAAGAGAAGGAUGAGAAUGGUUUAAUCAUCAGCAGCCGUCUAGCAACCUCAUGGUUUGAUUACUAUGAAAAGAAAGACGACUCAGGAGUCACAAAUGCAGAUAAGGUGAAGCAAGAAUUUUGGAAUGCAUUCUGUGUCAGUGAGGCGGACAAGGUAGAGGCUGACCGUGUUUUGGAAAAUUAUGCAGCGAAAUCAGUGAGGCAAAUGAUGUAUCAGCUUCGUGUCGAUUCUGUCAAGGUGUACCAUGAUAAAAUUGGGGAGCAAAUUGAUGAUGCAUUAGCACGCCCAAAGGAACUUGAAGUUGAUGAAUAUAAGGAUGGCCCCGUUGAUUGGUGCAGAGACAAUGGAUUUUCAUACCUUGCAGAUUAUUGGUGUACUGAAGAGUUCAAGGCAAAAAGAAAGAGAGGCCAACAAGCACGCCUUAAUUCUGAGGAUGUUGCCCAAAACCGAGGAGGUUCCCGGCCAUUCACAGAGACACAACAAUAUAUGGGAGUAAAAUUUGGACCUGAGAAAGCUACAACACUAAACACUUUUAGUGCAAUGAAGACUGGCUUUAAAAAUAUAGAUAAUGAUGGAAAUAUUGGACCAAUCCCAAGCCAGAAAGCACAAAAGCGUGUGACUGAUUAUUUAACAGGUCUUAGGGCUAAAUAUCCAGAUGAUUGGCAACAAAGAGACCUAGAUGAGAAUGUAUUGUACAGCACCAAUGGUGGCUUGCCACAUGGUCGCGUACAGAUAGCGAAUGGAGCUGUUAGGAAGGCUAAUAUUUUGGCUGUGGCCAAAUCAACAAAUGUUCGACCUGUCAAUUCAAUUGCUUUCCAAAAUAUGGCUCAACAAACUCAAAAUAUGGCUCGACAAAAUGAACAACUACUCCGGGAGAAUCAAUACAUGCGCAAAAAAUAGGAACGAACUGACAAGCACUUUAUGAAAAGUUGGGUGAACAAGUACCACAAGAAUUGGACUGUCCAGUAGAAGAGGAAGAUCCAUUUGCACAGAGUGAGAACAGACAAUGCAGCACUUACAGUGAGGGAUUGGGCUCAUGUUGAUUGUUGUAACAGUUGGCCUUGUAGUCACAUUCUCAAAUAAUUGAGAUGGGAACAAGUUCUUCCCAUGUAGUCUCACACAGCCAGUUGAGGACAAUGGGAACAACAACAGCAAUGGAUGUAACACCGCCUCUGGCAAUGGUGGCAAUAACAACGGCGACAACAACUGCAAUGGCAAUAAUACUAGCAGUUUGAAUGCCAAUGAUGGAAGCAACAUCGGUGGGAACAACAACUCUGGUGGUUGUAAUACUAGCACAUCUUGAAUGCCUCUCCAUGAUGCUGCCACUCACUUCACUAACAGAUCAUGCAAGAUGGGCUAAGGCUUUUGGAUAUACUGACUGUGGAGUUGUGUCAUACUAAUACUUUUGGAUAGGUUGUAUUUAUGGUUCUAGACCUCGAUAGAGUGUGGGACUCCAAAAUUAGUACUAAGUUUCUUACAUAGUCUCUUGGCCAUGCAAACUCCACAAAGUGAUACUUUUGUGUUAUGUUCAAAUAGUGAACUGGAACUA